ACGAACGCUGGCGGCGUGCCUAACACAUGCAAGUCGAGCGGAGACAGUGAGUAGCUUGCUAUGAGCUGUUUUAGCGGCGGACGGGUGAGUAACGCGUGAGCAACCUUUCCCAGACAGGGGAAUAACACACCGAAAGGUGUACUAAUACCGCAUAAGACCACGGAAUCACAUGGUUCUGAGGUAAAAGAUUUAUCGGUUUGGGGUGGGCUCGCGUCCGAUUAGGUAGUUGGUGAGGUAACGGCCCACCAAGCCGACGAUCGGUAGCCGACCUGAGAGGGUGAUCGGCCACAUUGGGACUGAGACACGGCCCAAACUCCUACGGGAGGCAGCAGUGGGGAAUAUUGGGCAAUGGGGGGAACCCUGACCCAGCAACGCCGCGUGGAGGAAGAAGGUUUUCGGAUCGUAAACUCCUGUCCUUGGAGACGAGUAGAAGACGGUAUCCAAGGAGGAAGCCCCGGCUAACUACGUGCCAGCAGCCGCGGUAAUACGUAGGGGGCAAGCGUUGUCCGGAAUAAUUGGGCGUAAAGGGCGCGUAGGCGGCUCGGUAAGUCUGGAGUGAAAGUCCUGCUUUUAAGGUGGGAAUUGCUUUGGAUACUGUCGGGCUUGAGUGCAGGAGAGGUUAGUGGAAUUCCCAGUGUAGCGGUGAAAUGCGUAGAGAUUGGGAGGAACACCAGUGGCGAAGGCGACUAACUGGACUGUAACUGACGCUGAGGCGCGAAAGUGUGGGGAGCAAACAGGAUUAGAUACCCUGGUAGUCCACACUGUAAACGAUGAAUGCUAGGUGUAGGGGGUAUCGACCCCUUCUGUGCCGCAGUCAACACAAUAAGCAUUCCGCCUGGGGAGUACGGCCGCAAGGUUGAAACUCAAAGGAAUUGACGGGGGCCCGCACAAGCAGCGGAGCAUGUGGUUUAAUUCGACGCAACGCGAAGAACCUUACCAAAUCUUGACAUCCCUCUGACCGGUCUUUAAUCGGACCUUCUCUUCGGAGCAGAGGUGACAGGUGGUGCAUGGUUGUCGUCAGCUCGUGUCGUGAGAUGUUGGGUUAAGUCCCGCAACGAGCGCAACCCUUAUCUUCAGUUACUAACGCGUGAGGGUGAGGACUCUGAAGAGACUGCCGGGGACAACUCGGAGGAAGGUGGGGACGACGUCAAAUCAUCAUGCCCCUUAUGACCUGGGCUACACACGUGCUACAAUGGCCACGACAGAGAGAAGCGAAAUCGCAAGGUAGAGCGGAACUCAAAAAAGUGGUCCCAGUUCGGAUUGUGGGCUGCAACCCGCCCACAUGAAGUCGGAGUUGCUAGUAAUCGCGGAUCAGCAUGCCGCGGUGAAUACGUUCCCGGGCCUUGUACACACCGCCCGUCACACCAUGGGAGUUGGGAGUGCCCAAAGCCGGUGAGGCAACCGCAAGGAGCCAGCCGUCUAAGGCAAGACCAAUGACUGGGGUG
rnacentral:rRNA from 1 species